rnacentral:rRNA from 1 species
UACGAAGGGGGCUAGCGUUGCUCGGAAUGACUGGGCGUAAAGGGCUUGUAGGUGGCCAACUAAGUCAGACGUGAAAUCCCUCGGCUUAACCGGGGAACUGCGUCUGAUACUGGAUGGCUUGAGUUUGGGAGAGGGACGCGGAAUUCCAGGUGUAGCGGUGAAAUGCGUAGAUAUCUGGAGGAACACCGGUGGCGAAGGCGGUUCUCUGGGCCUUACCUGACGCUGAGGCACGAAAGCCAGGGGAGCAAACGGG